GUCAAGGUCUUGGCCUGGAUCAAGAGGCCAGGCUUGGGAAAUUGGAGGGAAGCUUCCCUUGGCAGCCAGAGCUUAGAGAAACUGAUGAAAAUGAGGGAGGGUUUGGCUACCUUUAUAGCCCGAGCCUCUUAGUCCUACCUAUUGUGCCCUCUCCUCUUAGGAAUGUCUCUGGAUGGAGAGGGACCUUAAUAGCAUUAAUCAGGCUCCUGUCACCUUGACAUCAUUUUGAGAGCCUCACUGGAAUGUCUGAACGUUCAAGGAAACUAUCCGCUUCUUGGCCUUCUCACCACCCGUUGGAGGGUAUUUAGGGUUGGGCAGCUGACCUAGGCACAGGAACUCUGAAAUCCAUAUAGUUCCAGGGUUACUGNAAACAAGCAUCUCCUUAACUUUCUUAUUUUUUUCCUUUCUAGGGCCUCACCUGAAGCAUAUGGAAGUUCCCAGGCGAGGGGUCUAAUCGGAGCUGUAGCCACCGGCCUACACCACAGCCACAGCAACGCCAGAUCUGAGCCACAUCUGUGACCUACACCACAGUUCAUGGCAACCCUGGAUCCUUAACCCAUGAGCUAGGCCAGGGAUGGAACCCAAGUCCUUAUGGAUACUAGUUGGGUGCAUUACCGCUGAGCCAUGACCAAAACUCCUACAUUAGAAGCAUUUAGGAGGCCAAUUACAUUAAAGUGUUUCAGAUAUCUACUGUUGCCAAACAUGUCACCCUAGCUCCAUGGUUUAAAUGAUAAAAAUGUUUUAUUAUCCUUUCCAAUGGUCCUGGGGGUUGAGUGAGCUCAGUGAGGUGGUCAUCUCUCAUGGGAUCUCCAUAACUGGUGACAGAUGGUGCCUAGGGCUGGAGUCAUCUCAAAGGCAGCUUCACAUGUCUAGUAUUGAUUCUGGCUGUUGACUGAGACUAUAGCUGAGACUGUCAGCUGGAACACCUACAAGUGGCCUCUCCAUGUGGCCUGGGUUCCUUCACAUUGUGGUAACUCAGUUCCAAGAAUGAGAGCCUGGCGAUGUCUGAGAGUGAGAGUGAGGCAAGAGCUGUAUCACCCUUUAUGAUCUAACCUCUGAAAUCAGAGUCACUUCCACCACAUUCUGUUCUGUGCAGAAAAGUUCACCCAGGUUCAGUGGGAGGGAUACCAAUGCCAUCCCUUGAUCAGAAAGGAGCAAGGUCACGUGGUCAAAUGAAUCUGUGGGAUGAGAACUAUAGUUACAUCCAUCUUUGAAGAAUAUUAUCUGACACAAACCACCAAGAAAGGAAAACUUUUGAAAGGAAAGAAAGAGGCAUUCCUCCUCAGGAUUCAGUGGGAAACCUGAGGUCGAAGAAAUGAGUCCUCACCUAGCAAAGCAACACUCCUGAUGUGGAAAGACAUUCCUAUGCAGGAACACUCCAAGGUGAACUGGACACAGGAUUUUGAAAAAGGGCAGAGCUGAACCAGAAAAGUCCCUGCCUGUUCUUCCAGCCCGGUAAAUCUACAAAGCUUUCAAAAGAGGGCAUAUAGAUGUUCCUGGGGUGGGUCAAAUUAGAGCUGCAGCUUGCUGGCCUACACCACAGCCACAGAAAUGCAAUACAAGCCCUGUCUGCGACCUAUGCUUGUGGCAAAACUGGAUCCUUAACCCACUGAGCAAGGCCAGGGAUCAAACCUGAAUCCUCAUGGGUACUAGUAGGAUUCUUAAUCUGCUGAGCCACAACGGGUACUCCGAGACAGUUUACUUUUCAGUUAGUUCAUGUGCCCCAAGUUAGAACCUCAGUUUCAUUCCUACUUUGCAUUUUUAUGAAUUUUUUCCAGUUUUAUUGAGAUAUAAUUGACAUAAAGCCCUGUAUAAGUUUAAGGUGUUCAGCAUAAUGAUUUGACUUACAUACAUCGUGUAAUGACUACUAGAAGUUUAGUGAUCAUCCAUCAUCUCAUAAGGAUACAAAAUAAAAGAAAAAGAAAAAAA
rnacentral:lncRNA from 1 species